rnacentral:rRNA from 1 species
CCCUUAGAUGUUCUGGGCCGCACGCGCGCUACACUGAUGCGUUCAACAAGUUUCCUUGGCCGAGAGGCCUGGGCAAUCUUCUUAAUAUGUAUCGUGAUAGGGAUAGAUUAUUGCAAAUAUUAAUCUUGAACGAGGAAUUCCUAGUAAGCGCAAGUCAACAGCUUGCGUUGAUUACGUCCCUGCCCUUUGUACACACCGCCCGUCGCUACUACUGAUUGGAUGUUUAAGCGAGGUUCUCGAACUGCUAGCGACUUAGCUUCGGUGAGGUCGCAGUGUGGGAAGUGAACCUAGCUUUGGUGUCUAGAGGAAGUAAAAGUCGUAACA